AUACGUAGGUCCCGAACGUUGCGCGAAAUUACUGGGCGUAGAGGGUCCGUAGGCGGUCUGGUAAGUGGAAGGUGAAAGCCUGGGGCUCAACUCCAGAAUUGCCUUCCAAACUGCCGGACUUGAGGCAGGGAGAGGUCGGCGGAAUUCCCGGUGUAGUGGUGAAAUGCGUAGAUAUCGGGAGGAACACCAGUGGCGAAGGCGGCCGACUGGAACUGUCCUGACGCUGAGGGACGAAAGCCAGGGGAGCGAACCGGAUUAGAAACCCUAGUAGUCC
rnacentral:rRNA from 1 species